GAAUCUGCACGGCUCUAGGGUUGGGACUCUAGGUGGUGGUGGCAUGGGUUUGUGAGUGGGAUCUUCUGAUCCAUGAGUUGCACAGUACCAUGGAAAAAACAUGGUUUCCCCAGCUGGGUAGCGUGCUCACUUACCACUUCCCUUGGCUGGGGGAUGGGGGCUUCCCUGCCCCAUAUGGCUCUUAUGUGUGCUGCCACACCACACUGCUCUUUCUGUGGGUCACUCCAGCCAACCUAGUCAGUUCUGAUGGGAGAACCUGGAUACAUUGGUUGUCAAUGCAGGAUUUACACACUAUUAUGGUUCUUUCUGAUGGGAGCUUCUGAUCACUACCACUUCUAGUUGGCCAUCUUAGAAGCACAUCUGCACCCCCAUCACAUCUUUUUUAUAUUACCACUUUGAUAUGGUAGUAUAGCAUUUAUAUGUUUUCAUUAUUAUUAUUAUUUUUUUUUAGAGUUGAGGUCUUGCUUUGUCACCUAGACUGGAAUGCAGUGGUAUAAUCAUGGCUCAUUGCAGCCUCCAAUUCCUGGGCUCCUCUGAUCCUCUUACUUCAGCCUCCUGUGUACCCGGGACUACAGAGCUAUGUGAGAAGCUUUCCCCAGACUCCUUGACUUUUCACGUGGGCAGAUCAGCCAUGGCCACAGUAGAGGAGAUGUAUCAAGGUAGCAAAGCUUGUGGAUUCUGGAAUCAGAGAGCUUGGGUUCAAAUUCCAGCUGUGUGUCCUUGGAAGAGCCUGGAAGUCCUUUGGGCUACAUCAUUGUGACUGAGAAGAUAUGGGAUACCAAACUGCCCGCCCACAUAGGCUUGUGGGGUUUUACAUGAUUCAUUGGAAUAAUAAAGAGGAUGCGGCUAUGUUUAUACCUCCA
rnacentral:lncRNA from 13 species